rnacentral:rRNA from 2 species
CUCGGAUCAGGUAGGGAUACCCGCUGAACUUAAGCAUAUCAAUAAGCGGAGGAAAAGAAACCAACCGGGAUUGCCUCAGUAACGGCGAGUGAAGCGGCAAGAGCUCAAAUUUGAAAGCUGGCUCCUUCGGGGUCCGCAUUGUAAUUUGCAGAGGAUGCUUCGGGUGCGGCCCCUGUCUAAGUGCCCUGGAACGGGCCGUCAGAGAGGGUGAGAAUCCCGUCUGGGAUGGGGUGUCCGCGCCCGUGUGAAGCUCCUUCGACGAGUCGAGUUGUUUGGGAAUGCAGCUCUAAAUGGGUGGUAAAUUUCAUCUAAAGCUAAAUACUGGCCGGAGACCGAUAGCGCACAAGUAGAGUGAUCGAAAGAUGAAAAGCACUUUGAAAAGAGAGUUAAAAAGCACGUGAAAUUGUUGAAAGGGAAGCGCUUGCGACCAGACUCGCCUCCAGGGUUCAGCCGGCAUUCGUGCCGGUGUACUUCCCUGGGGGCGGGCCAGCGUCGGUUUGGGCGGCCGGUCAAAGGCUCCCGGAAUGUAGUGCCCUCCGGGGCACCUUAUAGCCGGGAGUGCAAUGCGGCCAGCCUGGACCGAGGAACGCGCUUCGGCACGGACGCUGGCAUAAUGGUCGUAAACGACC